GUAAAUCACUUAGAUAUGCUAUAUUGAGAAAAUAUUUACCAUUUAUGACUAUAAUUUCUUUUUAACUAAAUCUAUCAGUUUCAUGGAAUUAAAAUUGUACAACUUCGGACCUAUUUUCUUUCCUAUUUAUUCGUCUCUUUCUCUACAUAUGAUUUCUCCUUUUUUUUUUUUUUCUUCUUCUUCUUCUUCAAAUUUUUAAUUCAAAUAACUAUCUUUAAAUAUUCAUCUCUUCAAAUCGAUUUAUACCCAUGUUGCACGAUUUACACCGAAAAUAUCACUAGGAGAAGAAUACAAAGAACCAAAAAUUGUACAAAAUCGUGUGUGCAAAUUGAGAUUUCAAAUCUCUAAAAUUGCAGCAACAAGCCAUUGAUGACCAUUAAAAAGCUUCAAGCUUUGAAUUCAUUAUUUGGAUUUUACGAAAGUGUGAUGCGUUUGUAUAAGUUGUUCUUCCAUAUUAUUGAAAAUAACAUUUUGGAGUUUAUAUCUUAAUUUAAGGGAGAUUCAUUAACUUUAGCAUUGAUUUUAUGAGAAAUUUCAAAUUAAAACUUGAAGAAGACGAAGAGUUUGGAAUUUUCUUGCAACUGUAUUAAAGUUGAAUUAGAUCUAUUUCAUAAUUGUAUUAAAA
rnacentral:lncRNA from 1 species